rnacentral:tRNA from 1 species
GCCUGAGUGGCUAAGUCAGUAAAGCAUCUGACUUUGGCUCAGCUCAUGAUCUCACGGUUUGUGAGUUCAAGCCCUGCAUCAGGCU